rnacentral:rRNA from 1 species
GAUGAACGCUCGCGGCGUGCCUAAUACAUGCAAGUCGAGCGAACAGACGAGGAGCUUGCUCCUCUGACGUUAGCGGCGGACGGGUGAGUAACACGUGGAUAACCUACCUAUAAGACUGGGAUAACUUCGGGAAACCGGAGCUAAUACCGGAUAAUAUAUUGAACCGCAUGGUUCAAUAGUGAAAGACGGUUUUGCUGUCACUUAUAGAUGGAUCCGCGCCGCAUUAGCUAGUUGGUAAGGUAACGGCUUACCAAGGCGACGAUGCGUAGCCGACCUGAGAGGGUGAUCGGCCACACUGGAACUGAGACACGGUCCAGACUCCUACGGGAGGCAGCAGUAGGGAAUCUUCCGCGAUGGGCGAAAGCCUGACGGAGCAACGCCGCGUGAGUGAUGAAGGUCUUCGGAUCGUAAAACUCUGUUAUUAGGGAAGAACAAAUGUGUAAGUAACUAUGCACGUCUUGACGGUACCUAAUCAGAAAGCCACGGCUAACUACGUG